rnacentral:rRNA from 1 species
GGAAAAGGAGCAAUCCGCUUUGAGAUGGCCUCGCGUCCGAUUAGCUAGUUGGUGAGGUAAUGGCCCACCAAGGCGACGAUCGGUAGCCGGACUGAGAGGUUGAACGGCCACAUUGGGACUGAGACACGGCCCAGACUCCUACGGGAGGCAGCAGUGGGGAAUAUUGCACAAUGGGGGAAACCCUGAUGCAGCGACGCCGCGUGGAGGAAGAAGGUCUUCGGAUUGUAAACCCCUGUUGUUGAGGAAGAUAAUGACGGUACUCAACAAGGAAGUGACGGCUAACUACGUGCCAGCAGCCGCGGUAAAACGUAGGUCACAAGCGUUGUCCGGAAUUACUGGGUGUAAAGGGAGCGCAGGCGGGAAGACAAGUUGGAAGUGAAAUCCAUGGGCUUAACCCAUGAACUGCUUUCAAAACUGUUUUUCUUGAGUAGUGCAGAGGUAGGCGGAAUUCCCGGUGUAGCGGUGGAAUGCGUAGAUAUCGGGAGGAACACCAGUGGCGAAGGCGGCCUACUGGGCACCAACUGACGCUGAGGCUCGAAAGUGUGGGUAGCAAACAGGAUUAGAUACCCUGGUAGUCCACACUGUAAACGAUGAUUACUAGGUGUUGGAGGAUUGACCCCUUCAGCGCCGCAGUUAACACAAUAAGUAAUCCACCUGGGGAGUACGACCGCAAGGUUGAAACUCAAAGGAAUUGACGGGGGCCCGCACAAGCAGUGGAGUAUGUGGUUUAAUUCGACGCAACGCGAAGAACCUUACCAAGUCUUGACAUCCUGCGACGCACAUAGAAAUAUGUGUUUCCUUCGGGACGCAGAGACAGGUGGUGCAUGGUUGUCGUCAGCUCGUGUCGUGAGAUGUUGGGUUAAGUCCCGCAACGAGCGCAACCCUUAUGGUCAGUUACUACGCAAGAGGACUCUGGCCAGACUGCCGUUGACAAAACGGAGGAAGGUGGGGAUGACGUCAAAUCAUCAUGCCCUUUAUGACUUGGGCUACACACGUACUACAAUGGCGUUAAACAAAGAGAAGCAAGACCGCGAGGUGGAGCAAAACUCAGAAACAACGUCCCAGUUCGGACUGCAGGCUGCAACUCGCCUGCACGAAGUCGGAAUUGCUAGUAAUCGCAGAUCAGCAUGCUGCGGUGAAUACGUUCCCGGGCCUUGUACACACCGCCCGUCACACCAUGAGAGCCGGGGGGACCCGAAGUCGGUAGUCUAACCGCAAGGAGGACGCCGCCGAAGGUAAAACUGGUGAUUGGGGUGAAGUCGGAACAAGGUAGCCGUAGGAGAACCUGCGGCUG